rnacentral:rRNA from 1 species
UACGAGGGGGGCAAGCGUUGUUCGGAAUUAUUGGGCGUAAAGGGUGCGUAGGCGGUCGGGUAAGUCUGAUGUGAAAUCUCACAGCUUAACUGUGAAACUGCAGUGGAUACUAUCCGGCUAGAGGAAUGGAGGGGAGACUGGAAUACUUGGUGUAGCAGUGAAAUGCGUAGAUAUCAAGUGGAACACCAGUGGCGAAGGCGAGUCUCUGGACAUUUCCUGACGCUGAGGCACGAAAGCCAGGGGAGCAAACGGG